GCUGCACGUAGGGGUUGAGGAAGGAGAGAAAGGAGGGAAAGGAGGAAGAAAGAAAGAAGAGGAAGAGAGAAAGAAAAGAAAAGCAGGAAUGAGGGGAAGAAUUAAGAAGAAAAUUUAAAAGAACAGCCAAUGAGAAAAGAGAAGAAAAAUAAAAGGAAAGAGUGAAGAAAAGAAGGAAACACAGAAGUGACGAAAAAAUGAUCAAAAGAGCAAGAGAGAAAUCCCCACAGACUCCCUGCAAUGAUGCUAACUGGCCUUCCCAUCCAGCAAGAUGUCCACACGUCCACAUUUUUGACACUUUUCCCGGUAGAAGAAAAUGACUCCACAUGAUGACACUGGAGCAAAGACGACCAGAAAAAUUCCAAAUAUGUAAAUAUUACAUCAAUUAAUGUAAUUUUACUUGAUCAAACUUGUUUUGAAAAUCUGACUGCUGGUGGCAAAAAGAAAUUGCAAUGUUAGAAUUGAUUCACUAGAGGGUGCUCUUGGUGUGUUUUCAAGUGAACGACGUGAGUAGUAAAAUUAAACAGAGAAAGCUUUAUUUCAUGUAAUAGUGUAUAUAAAAAUGGGUAUAAAAAUGGCAGCUUUAAAAACACCUUUUUGUUUGAAUAAUGUAUAGCUGCUGUUAUGUGUCAUGUAUAACUGGCUGAACAUGUCUUAUAGCAGGGGGGUGAGAAAGAAGGGUGAGAAACUCAACCUUGGAGUGAGUAAAAUACGAGCUGAAUAGGCACUUGGUAUGUGCUGUUUCAUUCAGUAACUGUAUAUAUUUAUAUAUUUUCUAAAAACAUACGACAUGCAAAUACAUUUUCUCAUGAUAUCAACAGCUCUGAUUCUUCAGAUAAAUCUGCCAGAAGUGAGAAGCGGUUAUUAGACAUGACUGCCAGUGGAUGGGCCAAGGAAUGUCGACGCCGAAGGUUGGGUACUUUUUUACCAGUGUCCGGGGUAACCUUGGGAUUCAUGAAAGAGCUGGUUUUGUCUUGCGUCUUCUUUAAAGUGUUGGCUGAAGAAGAACUGGACGACAUUGCAAAAUUAAAGUUCAAUAUGGCAGGGCUGCUGUGGAUACGAUGGUCUCUUGGGAUUGGGCAUUCAGGUUCCGGAUUACUGUUUCGUCUUGAGAUGCUAGAGUUUGCACUCUGCAGUACAUUCCCAGAUUUUGGAGGGUUGCUGUUGACCGAGGUUGCAGGACUGCAUGACUGGCCAAACUGGCAAACAGCAGGACUUAAUUGAGAUUUAUUGUUCCGUAGUUGACGGAUGGUCUCUUCUUUCUCAUGAAGCUUUGACUUGAGAUCAGCCACCUGUCUUGUCAGCCUAUCAAUACUGCUGUCUCCCAGACUGUCAGUCCUCUCAACCCUCACACUCUCCAGAAACGGUUCAUUUUCAUAGGUGUCACUCAUCGUACUUUGAUCUGAUGACUUUCUCAUCACCAGCAAUUUCCGUCCCUCCGCUGUGUGAAUACAAAAAGGGAGAGUACAGAAUGAGCCGGAUCAUUAGAUGUUGAUUCACUUUGGUCAUUUUACUUUUGCUACCAUAAAUCAUAAUGAAGAUAUGAGGUUUCCUCCCGACAACAAUAAUUACAAGGAACAGAGAAUGAGGAGGCCUUGGUGUCUGUUUUCAGAUCUCCUGUUUUCACAAGCUUUAAAAUGCAUUAUUUGCACAACUAAAGAAUGUCUAGUUAAAAAAGACUUCAUAUUUAGAAAUUGCUUGCUUUUUGAUCUGCUCCCACCAGACUUAGUUCCUACAUUCAAUAGGCCUCAUAUUCUUAGCCUAUUCUGUUACUUUCUUCUGCCAGGUUUUCUCGUAUAAGUGUUCUAUGUCAGAUUCACCAAACUCUCUUAACUAUGCAAACUUGUUGUAAAUUGUCAUUUCAGCUUGAUGAAGGCCACAUAUGCAUAUGAAGUUCAUAAGAUAUGAUCAUCAGCAUAAUCUAGAUCUCUAAAAUUGCCUCUCAUCUCUAAGACAGAGAGAGCACUCCAGCUUUUACUGCUUUUGCUAAUUGAGAAUUAAGAUAAUUCUGAGCCAAAUACAGCCUCUUCUCAGCAUUAGGAACUUACCAGGUUUGCCACAUCUCUUCCAUAACGAUACAGCUAAUCCGCAUAAUGAGGCUAAUAGAAGUACAAUGGCCUCUCCAACAGCGAUGCCAGUGGUUAGAGAGCAGGAUCUCGUGCAGUCAGCUGAAAUGACAAUAAAGUAAAUUAUUUGAUAUUCAAUAAAAACACCACAAGUAGACAACAUCUGUUAUCAUAAGCAUAUUUUCAGACUUCUUCUUUUCCACUGCCUGCAAUUUCAGCAAACUGAAGUCCUUCCUGUAGUGAUGGAUAAGAGAGUUAGUAAAGGUGUACGUAUUUUAAAGAGAUGGCUCCUGUAUUUGAAGAAUCCAGCUGUCAACAGUCAACAUUAUGCACCAAAAUAUGAAAUUCCAAAUAGUUUCUUUACAUUAAGAAAAAACAUUUUAAUUGUACAAAUUAAAUAUAUAACAGAAAAUGUCAAUACACCACAAAUAUGAUGAUGAAACUCUGCUAUAACAACAGGUGAGCUGUUAAAGCUCUAGUGUACCUGCUAUGAGGAUCUCUGUGACCCUGGUCUGGUUGGUGUACGGCUGGUGAACACUGCAGGUGACCCUGAGAUGAGAAGACAUUAGAUAAAGUUUUGAGUUUGGUUUAAAUCAUACAUUUAUAAUGCAAAAAGUCUUGCAGUUAGCGAGUCACUCUGUGUGCACUAAAGUGAGAAGUUUCACCAAGAUGACACAUGAGUCGACCCAUAUUUGUGGUGCUGUAGUCUUUCCCUUGGAGAAAAUGAUCUGCACACAUGAAUGAAAUGAAAAAUAAAAGCCCUUAUUGUUGAAAUAGAA